rnacentral:lncRNA from 1 species
AGAACUAAACCCUAAUGAAUCUCUCCUCUCCAAAAAAUACGAUAGACACCUCUCUUACCCAAAGAGAAGAACAACAACAGCUAGCCACCUUUCAUUCUAAUCUCAAAGAUCUGCCGAACUCUCCCUCUCAAAAAGCUUAUCUCCUCUUUCAUCAAAGAAGGAUGCCACCCAACACUCUCUAUGAAGUCAGGAGCCGCUGCCAAACUUCCCCCCUUUUGACCACCAAGUCAUCCACAAACAUCCCAUAUCGACCUUAGAGACCACCGCCCACCACAUUGCGGCGAACUCGCCAAAAAUGAGAGAGCAAAAGCCGCAUGCCUCCAACCUUCUUCCGCCCAGAACUGGCCAUCCACCACCGCUAACCUCACCUAAAACAAUUGGAAGAGGUUUUUAGACCGAAAAACUUUGGAAAAAAUCUAGGGUUUAAGGAAAAAAAUUUCUUCUCCGUUUUGGAGUAUGGUUCCUCGAGUUUUCUUUUUCUUUGAGACCUUAGAAGAAAAAGUGCAUACA